rnacentral:lncRNA from 1 species
GAGACCACAAAAUGGCUGCCGGCGGCUUCGUCACGUGACCCCUUUGUGCCUUUCGGGCCCCCGAACUCGGCGGGACCCAGGUCGGGCAGGUCCUCACAGCGGAAGACCGGCAGCGGCUUCGAGGCGUCCAGCGCCCGCGCCCGAAACGACAGUUUACUCAUCUCAGGCGCAGCAGAUACCUCUCCGCUCUGGGGAAACGGCCCCGGCCAGCGGGAUCAUGGAGAACCGGAGUUUCGGUCUCCACUCGCCUGCCGCUGCCGGGGACUUGGGGGCGGAGCGCGAAGCCCGCCGUCCGGGCCCUGACACCAGCCGGGAGGGUGGGAGGCUGUGCCGCUCCGCGCCUCGCUCUCUCGCUCUCUUCAAUACGCCAUGGCCAACAUGGCGGACAUUAAAACUCCACUGUGCGCUCUUCAGCCAACCCCAGCCAUUCCCCACACUGCAUCGCGCAGCGGCGCGGGCACGCGCGGGGGGAGCGCGGGCUCGAGCGAGCGAGCGAGCGAGCGAGCGGGCGCCGGCGCGGCGCGGCAUGGAGCGCGCGUCCCGCCAACCCCCGGCCCGCCGGCCGCCGGCCUCGCCCGGCCGCCCGCUCCCGCUCCCGCCCUGCGCGCUGCUCAGGCGAAGGAGCGACGAGCUCGGCGCCCGCGCGGGUCCUGGCGAGGCCGGCGCGUAGAGCGGCCGGGA